UAAAAAUUUAAGUUAAGUUUAUUAAAUUAAUUAUUUUAUUUAUGUAUAUAUCAAAUUAAGUAAUGUAAUAAAUUUAAAUAAUUUAUUUUUUUAAAUUUAAUAUAUAAAAUUAAAAAUUUAAGUAAUUAAUAUUUAGAAAUUAUAAAUAAUAUAAGUUAAUUUUGUGCCAGCAACUGCGGUUAAACAAAAUAUAUAAAUUAAUUAAUUUAUAAAUUAAAUAAAUUAAUUUUAAAAUUUUAAUUAAAAUAAAUUUAUGAUAAAAUAAAAUUUAUAAGAAUUUAAAUAUAAAAAAAUUUAUUAAAUUAAAUAGUUACUAAUAUAAACUAGGAUUAGAUACCCUAUUAUAGGUAAUAAAUUUUUAUUUAUAAAUAUUAAAAUUUAUUAUUUGAAAAUUAAUAACUAUGGCGGUAUUUUAAUCUAUUUAGAGGAACUUGUAGUGUAAUUGAUACUCCACGAAAAGAUAAAUAUAUAUUAUAAAAUAUUUUUGUAUGUUCGUUAUAAAAAAAUUUAAGAAUAAUUAAAAAUUUUUUAAAAUUAUUAUAUUUAAUUUAUUUCAGAUCAAUAUUAAAUUAUAGUAUAUAAAAUUUAUGAGUUACAAUAAUAAAUAUUAAGAAUUUUUAUAUUAAAUUAUUAGAAUUUUUAGAAUUUAAUAGUAAAAUAUAUGAAAUUUAUAUAUUUGAAUAUAGUUUUAAAAUAUGUACAUAUUGCCCGUCACUUUUAUAUUUAAUAAAAUAAGUCGUAACAAAGUAAAUAUACUGGAAAGUGUAUUUAGUAAAAA
rnacentral:ncRNA from 1 species